rnacentral:rRNA from 1 species
AUUGAACGCUGGCGGCAGGCCUAACACAUGCAAGUCGAGCGGAUGAAGGGAGCUUGCUCCUGGAUUCAGCGGCGGACGGGUGAGUAAUGCCUAGGAAUCUGCCUGGUAGUGGGGGAUAACGUCCGGGAACGGGCGCUAAUACCGCAUACGUCCUGAGGGAGAAAGUGGGGGAUCUUCGGACCUCACGCUAUCAGAUGAGCCUAGGUCGGAUUAGCUAGUUGGUGGGGUAAAGGCCUACCAAGGCGACGAUCCGUAACUGGUCUGAGAGGAUGAUCAGUCACACUGGAACUUAGACACGGUCCAGACUCCUACGGGAGGCAGCAGUGGGGAAUAUUGGACAAUGGGCGAAAGCCUGAUCCAGCCAUGCCGCGUGUGUGAAGAAGGUCUUCGGAUUGUAAAGCACUUUAAGUUGGGAGGAAGGGCAGUAAGUUAAUACCUUGCUGUUUUGACGUUACCAACAGAAUAAGCACCGGCUAACUUCGUG